rnacentral:snRNA from 1 species
AUCGCUUCUCGGCCUUUUGGCUAAGAUCAAGUGUAGUAUCUGUUCUUAUCAGUUUAAUAUUAUGGAUAUUGUCUUCUUUCAUAACUUUUUAAACAAAAAUGUAUGACAAAUGUAGAGUACUCUUA